UGGAAGCCACAUUGACCAUAUUUCUGGAGAAUAUGGGGAGGCCCAGCUUUGGGUCUACCAAUUGUGACUUCAAGUCAGUGUGACCAGGACAGUCCCAGUAUCUGCCUGUUAUUUUAAUGUAAACCUUAACAGCUGCCACCGUCACUCUCAUAAGUGUUCUGGUUUGGACAAAAAAUUGUAUGGUCGCCCUACAUCCACACUUUGAUACAGUCACUAUUUCCAGAGAAAACUACCUUCACUAACUAGCUGCUGUUUUUUUUCUGAACCCUCAUGUGCACAUAUGAGUGGAGUGCAAUGCUCUUAUAACCACUACCAUCUCUACUAUUUCUGGGACCUGAUCUCAAAAGCAAUCUCAUCAUUGCCAUUACUCUCUGACCCUGCCUUCUACUCUAUAAUUUUCUACUCUUUGAGUUUUGCUUAAAACAAUUUUCUAUAUCUACCUAGUUGGAUAAAGGGCUGGAUUUGGAUUAAUAAGUUUAAAUGCAGUCCAAACUGGUAAAACAAGAGACACACAGCCAUCCCUCUACAUUCUGAGACCCCCUACUGCUUUCAAAGGAAUCCUCCCUAAUACGUCCACACUGCUGAAGCUAGAGAGUCUGUGUUUAGGGCUCCCAAAUCCAGAUUUUAUACAGGCCUCUUUUCAUCCCAUCAGAUAUACUAUUCUUUCUUGCCCAACAAGAGAAAGAAGCCUGGACCAAUGAAAUUAGGUCCACCAUGAAAGAAAAGGCUGCCCCUUUAAGAACUGAGACAUGGAGUGGUCAGGAACCCUUGAUUGUGCCCACUAUGACAUCAGGAAGCAGAGCUCAGAGGGACUCGCAACAGGCACAAGUGAAGCUUUCUUGCCAAUCUUGAUUGAAAUCACAUUUCAAAAGUCAUGGUUUUCUUUCUUUGUUGUAUUGUGAUUUUAUAUUUUAUUUUAAAGAAGAUUGUGGAAAAGAGAAAGAAAACGAAGGCCAGGAGACAAAACAAGGGUAUCUAAAGAACAAAGUACAAAGAUUGGACUCUCUGGAGCGCAUCCCUUCAGAGAGUACUUCCUGAAAGCCCUGUAUCUCCACUAUCUCGAUUCUCUGGAGUAAAUCACGACUUUAUGAUUCAUGAGUCCAAAGAGGACAGUCUUUCCAUCUAUCCAUCUUAUAACUGAUGUGGCUCCUAAGGAACAGCAAAACCUGAAACAAUUAUGGGAACAAGCAUUUGUCAACCUCGCACAUGAAGCCACUCUUUAGUUUUCUACACCAGAAGUUCCAACGUCAAGCUACAUUCAAAGAGAGAAACAAUACAUUCGGUACACAAGUUAGGAAGAGUCGGAAAUUCCUCAUAAGAUAGAACAUGUGCAAUUGAAUUCCAACUAUUAGGUUUUCUGUGGAAAAAAAACCAUACAUGUGUGCAUAUAUAUGGCCAUCUGAUCAUUUUAAAAGCAUACUCAGAAUACAUUAAAAAAACACCAUGAGUAUGAAUUAUCUAUGCUCUAAGUACUUAACUUCUCUUUCUGCAUUUAUGUCAUCACUUCUUAUCUCUUUAUAUCUUGAACUUUUUCUUUCCCCCCACCUCACUCUGUGACUACUAAACAAAACUUUCAUUUCUAAUAUCCAACUUCAUUAACUCAGCAGGGAUGGCAGAUAUCACCAAAAUGCAGCGUAACACUUGCAAACUGAUUUAUGACAUGCAUCUUUAUAAAGUGCUCAGUGAAAUGCAUAAAAAACUGAUUGCAAAUUGGUCAUAUAGAAUGUUGAGUACUUUAUUAAUUACUGGCUAAAGCUAAGGAGCUACACAACAACAUCAUAUCUAAAUAAGGAAUUUUAUUUGAAAUGUGAAAUUUCAUCAUGAAUAAAUUCUAUAAAAUGAACUGAGAAUUGCUAAGUGAUUUUUGAAAUUGAGUGGUGCUGUAGAAUGAUCCCAUGAUCUGGGCCCCUUACUCCUUUCUUUCCUUUCCUCCUUCAUUACUUCUUCUCUUACUUUAUCC